GAAUAUUGGACAAUGGGGGCAACCCUGCUCCAGCCAUGCCGCGUGUGUGAAGAAGGCCUUUUGGUUGUAAAGCACUUUACGCAGUGAAGAAGACCCCACGGUUCAUACCCCUGGACGAUGACAUUCGCUGCAGAACAAGCACCGGCCAACUCGGUGCCCGCAGCCGCGGUAAUACAGAGGGUGCAAGCGUUAAUCGGAAUUACUGGGCGUAAAGCGAGCGUAGGUGGCUUGAUAAGUCAGAUGUGAAAUCCCCGGGCUUAACCUGGGAGCUGCAUCUGAUACUGUUAGGCUAGAAUAGGUGAGAGGAAGGUAGAAUUCCAGGUGUAGCGGUGAAAUGCGUAGAGAUCUGGAGGAAUACCGAUGGCGGAGGCAGCCUUCUGCCAUCAUAUUGACACUGAGGUUCGAAAGCGUGGGUAGCAAAC
rnacentral:rRNA from 1 species